GGUGACUCAUAGUAACUUAAUCGGAUCGCAUGGGCUUGUCCCGCGACAAACCAUUCAAGUUUCUGCCCCAUCAUGCUUUCGAUGGUAGUGUAUUGGACUACCAUGGCUUUCACGGGUAACGGAGGAUUAGGGUUCGAUUCCGGAGAGGGAGCCUGAGAAACGGCUACCACUUCCACGGAAGGCAGCAGGCGCGUAAAUUACCCAAUCCUGACUCAGGGAGGUAGUGACAAGAAAUAAUGGGUCGGGGUUCUGCCCCGGGACUGCAAUGAGACGAAUUUAGACCCCUUAUCGAGGACCAAUUGGAGGGCAAGUCUGGUGCCAGCAGCCGCGGUAAUUCCAGCUCCAAUAGCGUAUAUUAAAGUUGUUGCAGUUAAAAAGCUCGUAGUUGGAUUUCUGGUAGUGGGCAAGAGCUCGUUGCACGUUGCUCGCGUUCAUUGCCAUCCUUCUGUUAACCUAUCAGGGCAUUCUAUUGUCAGUUAGGGGCUCAGAUAUUUUACCUUGAGAAAAUUAGAGUGUUUCAGGCAGGCUUGUGCCCGGAUACAUUAGCAUGGAAUAAUGGAAUAGGACUUUAGCCUCUUCUGUUGGUCUGAGGGGUUGAAGUAAUGAUUAAUAGGGAUAGUUGGGGGCAUUAGUACUUAACUGUCAGAGGUGAAAUUCUCGGAUUUGUUAAAGACUAACUUAUGCGAAAGCAUUUGCCAAGGAUGUUUUCAUUAAUCAAGAACGAAAGUUAGGGGAUCAAAGACGAUCAGAUACCGUCCUAGUCUUAACCAUAAACUAUGCCGACUCGGGAUCGGGGGCCAGAGUUAACUGCCUUCGGCACCGUAUGAGAAAUCAAAGUCUUUGGGUUCUGGGGGGAGUAUGGUCGCAAGGCUGAAACUUAAAGGAAUUGACGGAAGGGCACCACCAGGCGUGGAGCUUGCGGCUCAAUUAGACUCAACACGGGGAAACUUACCAGGUCCAGACAUAGUGAGGAUUGACAGAUUGAUAGCUCUUUCUUGAUUCUGUGGGUGGUGGUGCAUGGCCGUUCUUAGUUGGUGGAGUGAUUUGUCUGGUUAAUUCCGUUAACGAACGAGACCUUAGCCUACUAAAUAGUCGCAACAAUUACGAUUGGCUGCGUCUUCUUAGAGGGACUUUGCAAGCAACUGCAAGGAAGUUUGAGGCAAUAACAGGUCUGUGAUGCCCUUAGAUGUCCCGGGCCGCACGCGUGCUACACUGACGCAUACAGCGAGUAUCACCAGCUCCGUGAGGCUGCUGGUAAUCAGCAAUAUGCGUCGUGCUGGGGAUAGAUCUUUGGAAUUUUUGAUCUUGAACGAGGAAUGCCUAGUAAGCGCAGGUCAUCAGCCUGCGUUGAUUAAGUCCCUGCCCUUUGUACACACCGCCCGUCGCUCCUACCGAUUUCGAGUGGUCCGGUGAACCCUUUGGACCGAGAGCGCCUCGUGAGCUUUUGGAAAGUCGAGUAAACCACAUCACUUAGAGGAAGGACAAGUCGUAACAAGGUUUCCGUAGGUGAACCUGCGGAAGGAUCAUUAA
rnacentral:rRNA from 1 species